UAAACCUCCCAUUGGAGAACAGAAAAUUUAAUGAGCUUUUAAUGGAAUGCAAUGCUCAGAGUAGUAAAUUAUUUGUUAGUUGACGAUGCAAUCAGCAUGCUGAUUAAGGUUGCUUGGUUUUUUACUAAACAUUAACUGAAUGAAAACGGGUAGUCCUUGUUCUGCUUGGGGGGCUUUAAGGAAGCAAAUGGACUUUCAGAACAGAGAUUGUCAAUAAAGACUUCAGAAGUCUGCCUAAUGAGAGAGUCAUCAGUAAGAUAUAUCUUUUUUAAAAAAUCGAAUCCACACCAUGAACAGUGCAUUUUCCAACCUUUGGGGAGGCUCUUUACUAUUUUAGCCAAAGAACAACUCUGUCAACACUUUCUCUAAUACACUUCAAGCAACAAGAACAAAUUGUAUCAUAUCCUGUUUCAAGUCACAGAGGAACAAGGAAUGCAGCCUCCCUCUAGCCCACCAUUUUGGAUCUGCUUCACUUAAUUCUUUUAGGAAUACCCAUCUUGAGCUCUGGAUGUGUCUCUGAGAAGGUAUCCACAACGCUGACCACACUGGAGGCCAAUGCAGAAACUGGGGGAAGGUUCGCAGCAGCUGUGUGUGGACAUGCUGAUCCCUGAGCUUGAUGCAGCGCUGUUAAUCUCUCCUCCAGAGUUGGAUAGAGGCCUGAACUGAAGCAUUGAAAGAUGCCUUGCCAAUUCAAGGCAAGGUCUUUAUUGUUGAAACUCUUGCAUAAUGACAUCUUUAUUCAUGUGAAAAUACAGGAUGAAUUUCAACUGUAUGAAAUUGUUUAUGUUCAUCGGAAAUGUUAUUUGUCUUUACAAAGUCUGGUUUCAAUGAACCAGCUAUGUAAUGAAUAUUAAAUAAACAUGGAAUUUUACACAUUCAUAA